UACAGAGGUCCCGAGCGUUGUUCGGAUUUACUGGGCGUAAAGGGUGCGUAGGCGGCAAUGCGUGUCGGAUGUGAAAUCUCCGGGCUCAACCCGGAAGGUGCGUCCGAAACUGCAAUGUUAGAGUGUGGGACGGGAGAUCGGAAUAUAGGGUGUAGCGGUGAAAUGCGUUGAUAUCCUAUAGAACACCGGUGGCGAAGGCGGAUCUCUGGAACACAACUGACGCUCAGGCACGAAAGUCGGGGGAGCAAAC
rnacentral:rRNA from 1 species